rnacentral:miRNA from 1 species
UUCCUUCCGGUCAACGAGGAUGUACCUCGUUGAUCGGAAGGAACCCCUUCCGAUCAGCGAGGUACAUCUCCCUCGUUGACCGGAAGGGG